rnacentral:rRNA from 1 species
CGUAGGUGACAAGCGUUGUCCGGAAUUAUUGGGCGUAAAGGGAGCGCAGGCGGUUGGAAUAGUCUGAUGUGAAAGCCCACGGCUUAACCGUGGAAUUGCAUUGGAAACUGUCCAACUUGAAUGCAGAAGAGGAAAGCGGAAUUCCAUGUGUAGCGGUGAAAUGCGUAGAUAUAUGGAGGAACACCAGUGGCGAAGGCGGCUUUCUGGUCUGUGAUUGACGCUGAGGCUCGAAAGCGUGGGAGCGACAGGAUU